rnacentral:rRNA from 1 species
AGAGUUUGAUCAUGGCUCAGAGCGAACGCUGGCGGCAGGCCUAAUACAUGCAAGUCGAGCGGUCCCUUCGGGGACAGCGGCGGACGGGUGAGUAACGCGUGGGAAUGUGCCCUUUGGUACGGAACAACUGAGGGAAACUUCAGCUAAUACCGUAUGUGCCCUUCGGGGGAAAGAUUUAUUGCCAUUGGAGCAGCCCGCGUUGGAUUAGGUAGUUGGUGGGGUAAAGGCCCACCAAGCCGACGAUCCAUAGCUGGUCUGAGAGGAUGAUCAGCCACACUGGGACUGAGACACGGCCCAGACUCCUACGGGAGGCAGCAGUAGGGAAUCUUGCGCAAUGGGCGAAAGCCUGACGCAGCCAUGCCGCGUGAAUGAUGAAGGUCUUAGGAUUGUAAAAUUCUUUCACCGGGGAAGAUAAUGACGGUACCCGGAGAAGAAGCCCCGGCUAACUUCGUGCCAGCAGCCGCGGUA